rnacentral:tRNA from 1 species
AAAUAUGAAGCAACAAUUUAUGCAACUAGUUUCGACCUAGUUAUAGGUAUUAAAACUACCCUUAUUUA